rnacentral:tRNA from 1 species
GGAGAGAUGGCAGAGUGGUCGAUUGCGCUCGACUUGAAAUCGAGUAAGGGUAACACCUUCCAGGGUUCAAAUCCCUGUCUCUCCG